UAACCAGAAGUGCAAUUGUAAUGAUCUCAGUACUUUUGCUGGGCUGAUCAUCCACCCUACACACCUGCCCAAAUUCUGCCAAGUCCUCAAUCAGCCUUCAUCUGAUCCACCUGUCUCCAGCUCCAUUUAAUCAGCCUUCUGUCCAAGCAAAAGUGCCAGAACGUCUUGUGCCACCUCGGUGAGACUAUCCAGCAUUCUCUAUUAUCUGCCUGCCUGCCUGCCUGCCUGUUUGUUGCCCAACCUGAUCUGUUUUUUGUCUCUGAGUCUGCCUAACCCCUUUCAAGCUCUGUUGCCGGUCUGGACUCCCACCGAUCAGCCCGUGGUCCUCUGCAUCGGACUGGACUCAUCCUGGACCUCUGAAUCUGGACUGCCUGCCUGUUGCCCGACCCCGAUCUGUUUGUGAGUAACCGCAUCUGUCUAACCCCUGUGUGCCUCUGAACUCAGCCGGACUAAGGACCUGGACUGGACCCCGACCCGCUCUGGACUAUCCCUCGGACCUUCUCAGGAUUUCGGAUUCCACCGGAACUGGACUGCCUGCCUGUUGCCCGACCCCGAUCUGUUUGUGAGUAACCGCAUCUGACUAACCCCUGUGAACCUCUGAACUCAGCCGGAUUAAGGACCUGGACUGGACCCCGACCCGCUCUGGAUCCGUCCCUGGACCCUCUCUGGACUUCUAACCCCUCGGCUCCUUCCCCGGACCCCCGUUUCUCUGCCCCGCUUCCUCGUUACUAGCCGGCGCUCGGAUUACCCGACUCUCCAGGGUUCCUGCAGACGUGAGCCGCUCGGGUUGCCGUGCGACCGCCAUUAAAUAAACACUUGAAAGCGUCA